rnacentral:piRNA from 1 species
UUAUUGUCAAAGUGUUUUAGC